rnacentral:lncRNA from 1 species
ACCCUUUACUUUUGCAACAUGCUCCCACCCUUACCUGAUCUCCAGCAAAAACUAUUGAUCUUCUUCUUCAAUCUCAAGCUUUUCCCUCCCUCUGCGCCUCUUUUGCUCCAAUCUCACGUACUGACAAAAUCUCCCAAAAAAUCUAGCUUCUCUCUUAACUUUUAAAAUAUAUAGUAACCUCCUCACUUUUGAUUAAUUAUUAUCUUUGCCCAAUUUAACUCU